rnacentral:rRNA from 1 species
CAGGCCUAACACAUGCAAGUCGAGCGCCCUUUUCGGAGGGAGCGGCAGACGGGUGAGUAACGCGUGGGAACCUACCCAUUGGUACGGAACAACUCAUGGAAACGUGAGCUAAUACCGUAUAAGCGCUGAGGCGGAAAGAUUUAUCGCCGAUAGAUGAACCCCCGUCUGAUUAACUAGUUGGUGAAGUAAUGGCUCACCAAGGGGACGAUUAAUACCUGGUCU